rnacentral:rRNA from 1 species
CGCUAGCUACAGGCUUAACACAUGCAAGUCGAGGGGAAACGACAUCGAAAGCUUGCUUUUGAUGGGCGUCGACCGGCGCACGGGUGAGUAACGCGUAUCCAACCUGCCCACCACUUGGGGAUAACCUUGCGAAAGUAAGACUAAUACCCAAUGAUAUCUCUAGAAGACAUCUGAAAGAGAUUAAAGAUUUAUCGGUGAUGGAUGGGGAUGCGUCUGAUUAGCUUGUUGGCGGGGUAACAGCCCACCAAGGCAACGAUCAGUAGGGGUUCUGAGAGGAAGGUCCCCCACAUUGGAACUGAGACACGGUCCAAACUCCUACGGGAGGCAGCAGUGAGGAAUAUUGGUCAAUGGACGAGAGUCUGAACCAGCCAAGUAGCGUGCAGGGAUGACGGCCCUAUGGGGUUAUAAACUGCUUUUAUAAAGGGAAUAAAAGUGAGUCUCGUGAGACUUUUUGCAUGUACCUUAUGAAUAAGGACCGGCUAAUUCCGUGCCAGCAGCCGCGGUAAUACGGAAGGUCCGGGCGUUAUCCGGAUUUAUUGGGUUUAAAGGGAGCGUAGGCCGGAGAUUAAGCGUGUUGUGAAAUGUAGACGCUCAACGUCUGCACUGCAGCGCGAACUGGUUUCCUUGAGUACGCACAAAGUGGGCGGAAUUCGUGGUGUAGCGGUGAAAUGCUUAGAUAUCACGAAGAACUCCGAUUGCGAAGGCAGCUCACUGGAGCGCAACUGACGCUGAAGCUCGAAAGUGCGGGUAUCGAACAGGAUUAGAUACCCUGGUAGUCCGCACGGUAAACGAUGGAUGCCCGCUGUUGGUCUGAAUAGGUCAGCGGCCAAGCGAAAGCAUUAAGCAUCCCACCUGGGGAGUACGCCGGCAACGGUGAAA